rnacentral:rRNA from 1 species
GAUGAACGCUAGCUACAGGCUUAACACAUGCAAGUCGAGGGGAAACGGCAUCGAAAGCUUGCUUUUGAUGGGCGUCGACCGGCGCACGGGUGAGUAACGCGUAUCCAACCUGCCCAUCACUUGGGAAUAACCUUGCGAAAGUAAGACUAAUGCCCAAUGACAUCCCACGAAGGCAUCCGAAUGGGAUUAAAGAUUUAUCGGUGAUGGAUGGGGAUGCGUCUGAUUAGCUUGUUGGCGGGGUGACGGCCCACCAAGGCAACGAUCAGUAGGGGUUCUGAGAGGAAGGUCCCCCACAUUGGAACUGAGACACGGUCCAAACUCCUACGGGAGGCAGCAGUGAGGAAUAGUGGGCAAUGGGCGAGAGCCUGAACCAGCCAAGUAGCGUGCAGGAUGACGGCCCUAUGGGUUGUAAACUGCUUUUAGAAGGGAAUAAAGUGGGUCACGUGUGACUUUUUGCAUGUACCUGAUGAAUAAGGACCGGCUAAUUCCGUG